AAGUCGUAACAAGCUUUCCGUAGGUGAACCUGCGGAAGGAUCAUUAACAAAUCAUGUGGGUUGGGGCUUCGGUUUCAGCUCAUUUUUGCGCGUGUGUUGUGUGACUGGUUACUAGAAGAGAGACUGACAAUAGACAACUUUUAACAAUGGAUCUCUUGGCUCUU
rnacentral:misc_RNA from 1 species